CUUGACUGUAGCCUGGAAUUGGGUUCGGGCUUUUCUUGCGCAGCCUAGGUGGGAGGCUAUGAAGAUUUCCUUCCGGGGAAGUUGGAGCCAACAGUGAGAGACCACUCUGGAAAGGCUAGAAUCCUAAUGGUGAUCCUUGAAUCAGGACACUUGACAGUUUCAGGUGGGCAGUUUGUUUGGGGCGAACGCCUCAUAAAAGGUAACUGAGGCGCGCAAAGGUCCCCUCAGUCUGGACGGAAAUCAGACAUUGAGUGUAAAGGCAAAAGGGGGCUCGACUGCAAGACCUACAAGUCGAGCAGGAGCGAAAGCCGGCCUUAGUGAUCCGACGGUGCCGUGUGGAAGGGCCGUCGCUCAACGAAUAAAAGUUA
rnacentral:rRNA from 1 species